CAGUAGCCGCGGUAAUACGGAGGGUGCGAGCGUUAAUCGGAAUAACUGGGCGUAAAGGGCACGCAGGCGGUUAUUUAAGUGAGGUGUGAAAGCCCCGGGCUUAACCCGGGAAUUGCAUUUCAGACUGGGUAACUAGAGUACUUUAGGGAGGGGUAGAAUUCCACGUGUAGCGGUGAAAUGCGUAGAGAUGUGGAGGAAUACCGAAGGCGAAGGCAGCCCCUUGGGAAUGUACUGACGCUCAUGUGCGAAAGCGUGGGGAGCAAACAGGAUUAGAUACCCGCGUAGUCCCUGUCUCUUAUAC
rnacentral:rRNA from 1 species